ACUACUGUGCGCAUUUUUAUCAGUGAUAGAUUUUUUUGCUUGGGUCGUCGGCGGGUUCGCCGGCCGCGGUCGGCGCUGGCGUCCUGUCUAGUUUGCUCGCCUGAUCGGCCCCAUGAGAGUGGCUGCGCCAGUGGCUCUCGUUGACAACGUACAUCAGUAACCUCAGGAAGUCGUUCCUCGCGAACCACAUCGCAACGCCGGCUGUAGCGGCAGCCAUCCGGCCGUUCCCCUUUGCCGUGUGGUAGGUCGUCCCCGGUGAAUCUGCAAUCUCCUCCGAUGCCCGCGUUGUUGAGCGGAGUUUCCGCAUCCAGCAAAAGCGGCGGCGACUCUUAUCCAUCCCCAUUUUCGUUUGACCCUGUGUUUGUACGAACAGGUGCAUAUCUUUCCUUUGCCUUACCAUGUCCUCUCUCUAUGAAAUAAAUUUCAGGCAUGCAUAGCACGGUUAUCAAAUUACUGUUUCUAAUAUUUUAUCUAGCAAUUAGACUCUUGGAAUUUUCUAUUAUUUGUUAAAUCAGAUCUGAAUUGCUAGGGAAGAAAGAAAGGUUAUAGUAAUUGAUAAAAGCACAUACGUGAUGCAUACAUAACUGAUAUUGAUUUCUGUCAAAUCAGUUGUGAGCCCUCCAUCAGGUAUCUGUGUGAAUACAUUGUCUUAUGAAUGUAUUUCCACUAUUUUGAAAAUAAAGUACAGUGGCCGUCCUCUUACAGUCAGAGAGAGCUUAAAUAUAGUUCAAUCUUCAGAGAAACACCAUAAAAAAGUCAAGGGCCCAAGCUCACAAACACUAUAUUUGGGUUUGUUAAAUGGAUGCAUCAAAACAUUGAGUUUGCUAGAAAUUCUAAAAUCAGACUAAAUUAAAUAAUGACUAUAGACUAUAUACGAAUAUAAUAAGAUACCCAAAAGUAAAUAAAUUUUGUUCUGUUAAAAUAUUUCAGAUAUAUCAAUUUGAAACCAAAUAAGGCUGCUAUGUCUGCAUCACAUUAUAUUUAGUCAUAUCAGAAUGCUUGUAACAAAAUCUAUAAUAUAUCCUUGUAAACAAUGUUUUUUGCAACCUUGUCGGAUGGACAUUUCAUCUGAGAUGAGUAUCUUCAAUCCAUUUCUGCUGGUCACCCUUGACAUUGCAACAUAGAGUUGUCCAUGUGUGAACACUUGCCUUUCUAAGUAGAGUAGAACUUUUUUGAGAGAUUGCCCCUGGCUUUUGUUUAUAGUCAUAGCAAAGCACACUGAUAUUGGGUAUUGUCUCCUUUUAAGAAUGAAAGGCCAUUUUGAAUCACUUGGUGACAUGAUAAUUCGUGGGAUGUAAACUUUGUCACCAACGUUAGGACCUGUUAUGACCUGGCCUUCAAUGAAACGCUUUCCUAGCUGUGUUAUUGUUAGUCUUGUCCCAUUGCAAAGUCUUGCACUUUGAUUGAUGUUCCUCAUAAGCAUUAUUGGUAAUCCUACUUUCAGGCUCAGUUCAUGGUCUGGUAUUCCAGAAAAUGUAAGACUAUUCAGAAACUCAGUUGGGGAUUUGACUCAUGAUGUAGGCAUUAAUCUGGUCAACAGUCUCGUUUCUUGGGCACAAGAUCGCUCUUUCCUCAAGGUAUGUUCUAUCAGUGUAUUUUCUGUGUAAGUCAGGAUAGGUGGUGUUAACAAUAGAUGCUUUCGGGUCAUCCCCUUCAUGUAAAAUAAGGUCCUCUGGGAUGCUAACCCAAUCCUCUUCAUCUAUUGUUGACGUUGUGCCAUCGCCUAUGUUUAGUAUCCAGUUUGCGAAUUCAGCUGUUUUUGCUUUCUCUUCUGGACUACCUUCGGAUGAAUUCAGACGCAUAUUUUCUUUGAGUCGGUACUCCUCAAAGUUCUUCCAUAGGUAGGAUCUCUUUAUUGAUGCAGAAAUGAUAUGUUCCCUUUUCCCCUUUGGUAUAACUGGUAGGAUUUGCCUGAAGUCACCUCCCAAGACUACUGUCAUUCCUCCAAAUGGUCUAUGCUCUGCGUCCUCAUAUGUGAAUCGAAGUAUGUCUCUCAAACUCUUAUCUAGUGCCUCAAAACAGUGCUUGUGUGUCAUAGGUGCUUCAUCCCAUAUUAUCAGUGACGUUUUCUUUAUUAGCUCCGCAAGAAAUGUUCCUUGCUUGAUGUUGCAUGUGGACUCGUUAGUGAUCUUGAGGGGAAUGUGAAAUCUUGAAUGAGCUGUUCUUCCACCCUGUAAAAGAAGUGCUGCUAUACCACUUGAAGCAACUGCUAGAACUAUUUUUCCUUCAGAUCUUAAUUUUGUCAUGACUGCUUUCCACAGAAAUGUCUUUCCAGUUCCACCAUAUCCGUCAACAAAAAUCAAUUUUCCAAGACUGUCGUUGACUGAUUCUAUUAUAACGUCAAAAGCCAUCCUCUGAUCCUGAUUUAGCUUAUGCAGUAACUUCAUGUGUUCUAUUCUUAAAGAAUCUUUAUCAUAGUUUAGUUCCUCAUUUACUAAUCUAUUAUUUAGAUCUUGAAGAAUUGAACUAUCUGGUAGUGGCAUUCCUGGAAAAUCUUUGAGGGACUUACUACCUUUAGUCAAUAGUUGUUCUAUCUCUGCCAGGAGCAGGCUCUUUAUUUGUGCCGAGUUGAGUUCCAGGGCCUGAAAAUUGAAUAUUCUUCUUUGCCGACGUUGGAUAUCCUCAUAUAGUAACUCCCAAUUUGUUUGCCACAACUUUGCGGGAUCCAUCACCUCACAAAAUAAAAGUAUUGUGCAGAAAAGUUGGCGCAUUUGAGGAGUGGAGGCCCAAUGGGAUGCUUCCUUGAUGCAGUCAUCCCACUCUUUGUCAUCAUUAAGUAGCCCAAGAGCAUAACAUGUGGAUUUGAAUGUUGGAUGUACAACCCCAUCAACUGUUCGAAUUUCUUCAUAUGAUCUGCAUCCUUUGACGGUAUUUAACAGCAUUCUCAAGUAGUAUUUUUCACCGCUCGUUGGUUGUGCAUAGUAAAUCCUGCCUAUGGUUUUUUUCCACCACGCCUUUUCCUCCAUUCUUUCUCUUGUGCAUGCCAAGUCCAUUUGGUUGGAAACUAUGCAUACGUCAAUCUGCGAGCUUCUUCAUGCAACUAGUUGGCUGUCAUCCAUUCUGUGAACAUUGUCUUUUCUAUGUUAGGCCGGGAUACAAUUUGAUCUAAAUCCAUUGAGUCCGGGAACACCACAACAUGUUCAUUUUCUAGGUGAAAUUGUAACCUUUCAACCGCAGGCUCUCUGUACUAAAGAGGAAACUGAAAUAUGCGCCAUGCGGCUUCACAUCCAGAUAUGUACCGGGCAUCAAGGUACCUCUUGAUUUUUUCGUCCCUGUUUGUUAAUUUGCUAGCUCUUGUUUCACUUUGUUGGUCUUCCGCUUCUAUCAAGACGGUUGUUCGAUCUUCUCCUUUGUGGAUGUAUUUGAAUAAAUACUUUAUAGACCUUGAUUUGCUGCACCACUCAACAUUUAUGUGGGCUUGAUACUUGACCAGUAGGUUUCUAUUGUAUGGCACAACAAAUCUAUUGUCUAGCUUCACUCCAUUCUUGUCCACAGUGUUGCCAUCAUCUUGCCUUCUAUGUACUGGAUAGUUAUCUUCAUCUAUGGUAGUCUCAGUGCAAAAAUUCUUGGGGAAAUGUUUGGCACAACUUUUAUCGACAAUGCAUGGUGAUUUUGGGUGUGCUUGACCACAUGGACCAUGUAUCAUGUAAUUUUGCACUGCUUCGUACCCUUCUGGAUCACUAUUCUUAUCAGGAAUUUCGGCUGAUAUGAUUUUGUCGAUCUGGGAAGGACUUGGAUCUUUAUCAUCUGGGUGUAGAAACACCAGUAUGUGUGCAUGCGGGAGGCCUCUUUUCUGGAACUCUAUAGUGUAGACAACUUUAUGAAAGUAAACAAAUUUGAGAAGAAAUGAGUUAGGACAAUCAUCUAGGAAAGAGUGAAUAUGUACUUAUUAGGUAAACUUACUUGCAAUUGUUUGUCCAAAACACUUUCCGUUCUUUAUGUCAUUCAUAAGUUCCUUCAGUUUUAACAUGAAUACUCUGGCAACGAUAUCUGGACGAUCUUCAGGUUUCUGGCCUGGAAUCAGAUCCAACAUAUCUUGUAUUUCCAGCCAUUUUGGAUUGCAUGUAAAAGUAAUGAAGAGAUCAGGAUAGCCAGCCCAACGACAAAUCGCCAUGGCAUCUUGGUAGUUUUGCUGCUUAUUUCUUGGACUGCCAUUAUAUGAUGAGGGUAGUAUGAUUCUUUGUCCAACUUGUUCGGUUCGUGUAUCUCCAUUUUCUAUUGCAUCAUGCAGUCCUCUGUACAGUUCUGUCCUCAACUUACCUUGGUUUGUCCUGUACCAAUUUAGUCUCCAUUGUUCAAUGCACGUUGCUGCAUCAACUAAGAACUGCAGGAACAAACGUCCACUCAUUUGCAAUGUUGAAGCUUGGUUCAGACCUUGUUGUAUGCGAUACGCAUAAAACUCCAGCAUUGUUACAUACUUUCUUUUACCUUUGUUGCCUCUUUUAUUUUCAUACUCUAUUUCUGGUCUGAAACCAUCUUCUCCAUAUGGAAAAAGCAAGGGGUACUGCAUUGACAUAUAGCUUGGGUGCAACUCUGAAAUCCUCUGUAACAUUCUGUCUUUGGUCUCAACUAUUAUAUCAAAUUCAUUAUUUUCUCCAUCUUGUUCCCCAAUAAUUAGUGCUGCGACUUCUGAGGCAGAUGGUAGGUUGUAUUGCCGUCCAUCUUUCGACCUUUUGUUGAUCAAUCUUAGUCUUACAUCUUUAAUACGUCGGUUUUGGAAUCUGUCCCUUGCCAUACGAAAUGAUUUGACUAAAACAUUGUGCUCAUCAAGCAUCUCCAGUAGUCCUUUGACAAUGUUUUCAUCUGGUUGUGUCUUACUCUCCGUUGAAGCAGAUGCAUUAAUCCUAUUCCGCACUUCAUUUUAUGUGUCAUGUAUGUACAAUUGGGCAAAUUUUGGUUUCGUCACGCCAUCCUUAGGAAGUAAAGUGCCAAUCUGAUGGUAAUUCUGGCCAUUCAAACGGAAAACAUACGGUCCAGAUGCCUGCUUAUUAAUUUCAUAGUCAACCUUUCCUCCCAUUGAAGUGAAUGCGAACAUCGAGUUGUACAACCUGAUGUUCUGGCGGAAAUUUGAUGAUUCUCUUCUUUCAUUGUAACGUAGUAGCUGUCGGAGAUACAGCGGAGCUUGCUUCAGUGGUGGCAAUUUAACUUUCCCUUCCUUGCAGCAGAGACCAAAUUUUGGAACUGUGAUGUUACCUGUGCUUGUGCUUCUCUCUCCAUGCCACAUAAUGGCAUUGCAAAAUUCACAAACACAAUUUGGUUUUCCCAGAUAUGAAACUUGAGUGACAUCCUUCGCUACAUUAGAUACUUCACAGUCAUUGCCCUUUUCUGUCCUUAGUCGUUUGCUUGCCUUUUUCAGCUGGAGGAUCUCUUUCCUUUUCCGCCUAGCUUCCUUUGCUGCUGCUCUAAUGAUGUCUGAUUGACUAUCAUUAGAUUCGAGUGUUGCUAGUUUAGAGGCUGCUUGCUCAGGUAUUUGGAUUCCUUGAUGAUGCCACAUAUUCCUGCAUUUUAUUUUGUUAUCAUUUUAAUAAUCCAGGUAAAUUAAUAUUUAUAUGAUUAUUUUUGGUACUGUGGUAAUGAAUACCUUCCGUUGUUUUGAUUUGCUCUAGUGUGUGUUCGACGCAUGUUGACUGCGGCUAGUGAAUCCUGAAAUAAUGAGGUAAAAAGUGUAACUGAUUUUAUUCUGAGAUAUAAGUGAGGGCAUCUUAUACGUAACUGAUUUUAUUUGUCCAGAAAUUCAGAAUUGCUGAUGAUAAAUUUAAUGUAAACAUGUCAGGCACCACAUUGUUUGCAAGAAUGCUGAAGGUAUUUGUAUGGAACAGAUAGUUUCCUGAUAAGAUUCUUUUUCGUAUGGAUUGUUUUCCAACAAAGGCUUUUAAAUCGUCUAAAAUCAUUAUUCUAUUGUGAAAGAAGGAUACUUGUGUUGUCACCUUCCAAUGAGAGGACGUAUAUGCUCUGUAAUUGGUGAUCUGAAUCUCAAGUUUAUCGCCACUUUCUCUCUGUAAUUCAAGUUAAUACAAAGCAUGUGUAAUGA